rnacentral:rRNA from 1 species
UACGUAGGGUGCAAGCGUUGUCCGGAAUUAUUGGGCGUAAAGAGCUCGUAGGCGGCUUGUCACGUCUGCUGUGAAAACUCGGGGCUCAACCCCGAGCCUGCAGUGGAUACGGGCUAGCUAGAGUGCGGUAGGGGAGACUGGAAUUCCUGGUGUAGCGGUGAAAUGCGCAGAUAUCAGGAGGAACACCGGUGGCGAAGGCGGGUCUCUGGACCGAUACUGACGCUGAGGCGCGAAAGCCAGGGGAGCAAACGGG